rnacentral:rRNA from 1 species
AACGGGCGCUGGCGGCAGGCUUAACACAUGCAAGUCGAGCGCCCCGCAAGGGGAGCGACAGACGGGUGAGUAACGCGUGGGAAUCUACCCAUCUCUACGGAAUAACGCAUGGAAACGUGUGCUAAUACCGUAUACGUCCUUCGGGAGAAAGAUUCAUCGGAGAUGGAUGAGCCCGCGUUGGAUUAGCUAGUUGGUGGGGUAAAGGCCUACCAAGGCGACGAUCCAUAGCUGGUCUGAGAGGAUGAUCAGCCACACUGGGACUGAGACACGGCCCAGACUCCUACGGGAGGCAGCAGUGGGGAAUAUUGGACAAUGGGCGCAAGCCUGAUCCAGCCAUGCCGCGUGAGUGAUGAAGGCCCUAGGGUUGUAAAGCUCUUUCACCGGUGAAGAUAAUGACGGUAACCGGAGAAGAAGCCCCGGCUAACUUCGUGCCAGCCGCCGCGGUAACAC